GACGAAGGAUGCAAGCGUUAUCCGGAUUCAUUGGGUUUAAAGGGAGCGUAGGUGGCCUUAUAAGUCAGUGGUGAAAUCUCUGGGCUUAACCCAGAAAUUGCCAUUGAUACUGUAGGGCUUGAGUACAGUUGCUGUGGGCGGAAUAUGACAUGUAGUGGUGAAAUACAUAGAGAUGUCAUAGAACACCGAUUGCGAAGGCAGCUAACGAAACUAUAACUGACACUGAGGCUCGAAAGUGCGGGGAUCAAACAGG
rnacentral:rRNA from 1 species